UUUUUUUUAGUUUAGAAGACAAUUUGAAUUGAACAGGGUUUGUUAUGAUGGGGAACAUGUUUGCCUCUACCAAAAUCAUGAACUUUAUAUUACCCCCAAAGACAGGACUGGUUUUAGUGUUAGGGUGCUGGGGUCUUUUCAAUCUUUUAAAAAAAAAUUAUGGAUCACCAAUCCUUGAUCAAUUACUGUUCUUUGGCCAAGAUUAGGAAAUUCUUUAUUCAAUAAAAUAAUGACUUGCAGUUGAACAUUUUUUUUUCUUACUGUAGUGCAUAGGUUUCCUGCUCUUUAAUUGUUGCAUUUAGCAGUGAAUAUUAAAGAAUUACCAAAGAAAUUAUGCCAUAUUAUUUCAUGUUAGUUUUUAUGUGUUGUGAAUUCAUGCAAAAACACAAGUUUAAGUUUACAAUAAUACCAUUUUACCCAUUGUUUUACAGUACUAAUGUUUUGUUAAACGCAUUAAUGAUUCUUUUGAAAAAUGGUGCAUUAUCAAUUUGCAUAAUAUUGUUGUACAUACAAAACAAUGGCUUUUGUACUUUGCAUUUUUUUUAUUCAUGUUUAAAAUGUCAUUUGUUUAAUUAAAAACCUGUAUGUUGUUUUUGAGUUUGAGUUUAUUAUGAAUCUCAUUUAAUGUGGUAUGAGACACCUUAAUAUGUCAAUUUGGAUGAUGCAAUAUAUGACUAUAAAAGGAUAUAUCAAUUUCUCAUAUAUGUAAUCUUUAAAAGGUUGAAAAUGUUAUCGCUCAGUACAUUAUUACUAAUAACUUCAAUUAGUGAUGCUGUAAGUUGAACCCAUUGUGUUACACUGGGCUUUUGAUUACUUCUGAAAGAAAAAAAUCAGUAAAGUUAUUUACCAUACAGUUGAACUUCGAUAUCUUGAACACUGAUAUCUCAAAUACAAUGGAUAUAUGGAUGUAAUUUGUAAGUCCCAACCACUAAUUUUUAAAGUAUUUUAUCCUCGAUAUCUCGAAUACUCCGAUAUCUCGAAGUUUUUAAACAGUCCCAUCUAGUUUGAGAUAACAAAGUUCGACUGUAUUUUUUAUUUCAGAAUAAAGAAAUUAUGUUACAAUAUGGAGGUGUCUCAUACCCCAUUGAAAGAUGACUCACAUUUAUCAAAAUGUGUUUAUAUGUUCAUAUUGUGACUGUUUUGAAUGUUAUUGAUGCGAGUAUGAAGUUCUUCAGACACAUUCUGUAUUUUAAACCGGUUCCAGAUUUUGUGUUUCUUUAGUUGUCAGUUGUGAAUAGCUACAGAAAUGUUAUGAAUGUCUUUAAAUUUAUUAUUGAGUUUACUUUCAAUAAAGACUAAAAACUG
rnacentral:misc_RNA from 1 species